AAGAGACCACUGGCAUCGCUGACAGCGAAAGACGGCAGUAGGGCAAUGCUUUAGGGGCCCCAGUCUCCUCUUCAAGUGCAUUGGAUGCCGUACUCGGUACCUACUAUACACCAAAUAUUGAGAGAACAUGCGCCCACUGGGUGCCACACUUGAGCAUUCAGAGCUGGGCAGGAUGAGCAUUCACUGAAACAGCUACUCUUCAUCCAGUCCAUCCCUUCUCCCAGGAGACUCAGAGUCAGCCUUUAUCUAAGCAGAGUCGAGUCCAACAGGAAGAAAGAUACUCUGGGCGAAGUCUUCUCUGAGGCUCACCCUCCUUGUUCAGCAGUCAGGCAAGUAACUUUUGCCUGAGAGUUGUGAAGUUCAUCAGAACUUGCUUGAACUUGUCCAAAGCUAUACCUGUUACUUAGAAUGUGGUCAAGACUCCAGUGAACCAGGGUCUACUACAGCUCUUUGGAAAAUGCUCUCUCCUUACUGCUGUCCUGAGAAGGGAAAAUCCAAACAAGAUUCUUCAGCCAAGAUCCUCGUGGACAGUCGAUAGCCUACAAGGUCUGGGCUGAAACAGAGAGCUGCCUCCCUCCCGUCCCCGUCUUCCCAAACAUCAUCCAUCUGAAAGGCCCACGCCUCCUCCCAGUGACUCCAUCUCCGCUGAUCUCAUCCAGGCAGCCACAAGCCACUUCUCUGCUCUUGACUUUUACUGUCCUGUGUGUUUACAUUCUACUUAAUUAGGAGUCAGUAGCACAUCAUCUUUGGGUUAUAAAUGAUCUUUGAAGUCAAAUGGACAAGGCAUUAAAAAUCCUGGGCAAGUUACUAGACAUCCGAACCUCAGUUAAAUCCUCUACAUUAAAAAAGCU